rnacentral:lncRNA from 1 species
GCGCGCUCCUCGCCCUCCCACUUUCUAACCAGAGCAUUCUGGGAGUUGCAGUUCGUGCGUGCCGCGGAACCCGUAUGUGGCUUCGGCCCGAGGCACGGCCGCCAUUUUGUCUCCCCAUGUUUGGAGUUGAUGGUCCGAGCCCAGCGACCUGACUGCUUCCCUGUGGCCACGGGCCUCGCGCGGCGAGCCCGCGGCAGCGUCGCACCCGGCCUUCCGCACCCGGGAGAAGCCCCCGCAGACCCUAGGCGGCGGGUACACUCCUAACUUCAGAGCCCGGCGUCAGGCCCAGGGCCUGAGGCAAAAGCCACGGCAGCUGGCCGAGGGGGUUGGCAGCUUCCACCGCUGCAGAUAGUGCUGAACCGGGCCGGCUGGCUGCCUUGGGGGAUACUUUUCGUACUAGUUCCUCCGGGUGGACGGGCCUGGCCUGUGCCUUCAGCCUCCUGUUUCGUGGCCUUGUCGCAGCGCCGUGGAUUUACCCUUUCCUCUGGAGCUGAGGCCGCUUGUCCAGCGGAGCCUGAGAGGCGGAAACAAUGUUGGUGGCCGCUGGGACAGGGGACCGGGAGAAGUAAGACACUAGAAAGGAACCUGGUGAGGAAAGGCCACAGGGACCGUCCUGGUCUACAGCGUUUGGGAGCAUUGCCUCCUUGGCCGCACAACACACAGCAGCCUUCGUACAGCGCGUCCUGGCCCAGGUCAGCAUGUUCCCCCACCCCCCACUCCUUCUUGGGGUGGAUGCUCUCUAUGAUUCAGAAAUUUCUACAGCUUUAAAAGCAGUAACUUUAUUUUCUUAGGAUUGUUUUAUGAAAAUUCAGAUGAAUUAUGACUACCAGGCUUGGCAUCUUUUUAUUUAAAAACACUGGGAAAAACAAGAAAACCACUGAAAAGUAAAAGAUCAACCCAUGAAAUCCCGUCACUUAAAAAUUACAAAAUUAGGGGUGCCUGGGUGGCUUAGUCACUCACGCAUCCGACUCUUGAUCUCUGCUCAGGUCGUGAUCUCACAGAUCAUGAGUUCAAGCCCCACAUCAGGCUCCAGGCGAUCAGCACAGAGCCUGCUUGGGAUUCCCUCUCUCUCUGCCCCUUUCCCACUUGUGUUCUCUCUCUCUCUCUCUCUCUCUCUCUCUCUCUCUCAAAAAUAAAUAAACUUAUAAAAAAUUAUAAAACUAGGGG